rnacentral:rRNA from 1 species
UACGGGGGGAGCAAGCGUUGUUCGGAUUUACUGGGCGUAAAGGGCGCGUAGGCGGUCCGCUAAGUGUGUGGUGAAAGCUCGGGGCUCAACCCCGAGUCGGCCGUGCAAACUGGUGGACUCGAGCAUGUCAGAGGCAGGCGGAAUUCCGGGUGUAGCGGUGGAAUGCGUAGAGAUCCGGAAGAACACCGGUGGCGAAGGCGGUCUGCUGGGGUAAUGCUGACACUGAUGCGCGACAGCGUGGGGAGCAAACAGG